AUUCAACAAUGGAGUUGUAAAUGUUUCUAUAUAGUGUUUUAGUACCUUCUGAUUUUCUUGCUGAUUCAACUGCUCACAUUAUUAAUAUGUGCGUUUCUUAAGACAAAUGUUGAUGAUAGUUGAUCCCUUUUUAAAUUGUCGUAAUUUUACUUCGAACUUUACCUGAGAGUAUAAACCGUUCUCUAUAUUUUAUUAACCUUCAUAGGGCAGAAUAUUGGAAAUCUCAGCCGAAGAAGUUUUGCGAUUUCUGUAAAUGUUGGAUAGCAGAUAAUAAAGCGGUAAGAUAAAGAAUAUUAUAAAUUCAGGUCUCGAAAUAGAAAAAAAAGGCCUGACAAGCUAUUUUCUUGUUGGCAGGUCAAAUAAAUUAUCAAAUAUGGUCUGCAAAUUAUUUCUAUUUUGAACUGCCAAAAUGGCCCACUCUGCUAUGAAAGAAAUAGAUGUUAAUUUUCUUCACUGACUUAAACUGUCCUUUUUAACUCUGGUGUUAACACUUUAUCUCCUUUAUGUUAUGAAACAUUAAAUUUGCCACCCAGAUUUUAAUUGGACAAGUGACUAUAUUGUCAAUUGAAACAUAUGGAUUCAAUGUCCGGAUGAAUAUGCCAUUAUGAACGUACAUUUUCCAAUCUUGAGUGCUCAUUUUAUUACACCAGAGAUUCCAACUACUGGAGGUAAAAUUUAGGGGGGCUGUUCAAUGAAUUGAAAUCUAGUUCUUCUGGGAAAAAAAUAAAAACUAAGUCUUCUGAAAAUACUGAAAUGGCAUUUCCUGCAUUUUGGGAGUAUGUUGUUAUAUGUGAUCCUAUAAAUUGCCAUAAAGUAACUUCAUAAAAAGGUCAAGACAAGGUAUUUAUAUGGUGCUAAAAACAGUAUAUUUAUGAUUUUUUACGAUAUUUCCUGAAUAUUUUGAAAAAUCGGGGGAAUUUCAUAACAAUCGGGAGACCAGGAGAUUGCAUGAAUUUUCAGGAGACUCCCGGUAAAAUCAGGAGAGUUGGACUGUCUAUUACACCCUUUACUCCUUUAUUACACCCUUUACCAAAAUCCUUCAACAUUUGUUCAAAUAUCGAGUGAGAUGCAAAAAAUCCUGGUCUUUACAAAUAAAAUUUCAGCCAAGCUAGUCUUCAGAUCAAUUUUAUUUUACAAUUAUUAGGGGCAUGCACAUUAUGCUAAGAAAUUUGCCCAUUAUUCUAUUUUUUAAUUCUCUUGACUUUAUCCUAUUAUUCUUUAAAUUUUCCCCUAUUAUUCCCAAAAUUAUUCUACAUCAAGUCGAAUCAAGACCAGAACAAAAUAAGAAUUUUAUUUCUGUAAGGGAUGUGGGACUGUAAAUUUCGUCAGAUUGUCAAUUUCAUGUGAAUUUUGCAUGAUGGUUCCAGUAAUGAAAAAUAAAUAAUGCAUAACACCAUAGUCCAAAAAUUCUGCGUACAUAAUGUAUUUAGAGACGUACAGUACACAUGUGCAAUGUCAUGCCGCGGACGGAUGGCGCAUAUGCUAAUGACGUAAUUUACUUUGCCACAAUGACGUCAUACUGAAAUGUUUGCCUAUUAUUCUUGCUUUUGCCCAUUAUUCUUGGUUUCAAAAAAAUCCCCUAUUAUUCUAAAAUAAAUUGUGUCAUACUGUGUGUAUCCCUAACAAUUACAGAAUGAGGUUGAGCAUGAUAUAAAGAAUUAUCAAUCCCAAAUACAUUAAUAUAUUUUUAAGUGUAAGAAAUGAAUGUCUAGAAAUUAAAUCUAUGUCUAAUAGAUUAAUUGCUGAAGAAAUUUGCUGUCCACCAUAUGACCAUAAAACAUGGGCUAUUAGUAAAAUACGGAACACACAGAGCACGGAGCACACAGAGUAUGGAGC